CAUAUUUGCACAUUUAAAUUUGCCAGAUUGGUUUGCUGGGCCUAUGUUGCCUUUGAGACGGUAUUACAGCCCAGGAAUGAAAAUGAACCCCAUCAUGAAACACCAUUUGAAAAAAAUAAACAACGCAGGGUAUUCACAAUGGGGUAUGUCCAGUCUUUUGUAGUAGCCACAAAUGCUUACAAAGACAGCACUUUUACUGGUAAUUUCAUCGUAGUGAUAAGUUUUACUGUUGUAAAC